rnacentral:rRNA from 1 species
UACGAAGGGGGCUAGCGUUGCUCGGAAUCACUGGGCGUAAAGGGUGCGUAGGCGGGUCUUUAAGUCAGGGGUGAAAUCCUGGAGCUCAACUCCAGAACUGCCUUUGAUACUGAGGAUCUUGAGUACGGGAGAGGUGAGUGGAACUGCGAGUGUAGAGGUGAAAUUCGUAGAUAUUCGCAAGAACACCAGUGGCGAAGGCGGCUCACUGGCCCGUAACUGACGCUGAGGCACG